GAGGCUGUAAUUGCUGCCAAAUUGUGCUUCAGCAAAGUACUGAUUAAAGGGUCUGAAUACUUAUGUAAAUGUGAUUUCCUAUGUAUUUUAUUUGAUAAAUUAGCUAAAAAAUAAAAACGUAUUGCUUUGUCGUUAUUGGGUAUUGUGUGUAGAUUGAUGAGGGGGAAAACAAUUCAACAAAUUUUAGAAUAAGGUUGUAACCUAACAAAAUGGGGAAAAAGUCAAGGGGUCUGAAUACUUUCCGAAGGGGGGAGUUUUGUUAAGAUUCCCGACCCUCGGUCUGAACAUUAACAUGCAUCGCUUGCUGUACGAUUUUGGAAGCAUAAGGAUCUUAUCUUUCAUAUCAGUGAGAAACAAUAAUAAUACUUGUAAAAACGGUUAAAUUGAUUAUCUGUCUAGAAUGCUCCAAAUACCUGUGUGAAAGCACACGUUGGAUGGAGGCACCCAUAGCUGUGUAGAUAAUAUAUAAGAUUACUACAGUAAGUGUAUAUUUUUUAUUUGAAGGAUUCUUUCUCGCUGAUGAAAGAUAAGGGCCACGUUUGGAAACGCGUCGGGAUUGUAGUUCAUAAGGCGGUCGUGGGAGAAGCUAAUGGCUGAGAACCGUAGGGAGAGUUUGAGAGCUAACUAACAGCCUUGUUUUUUAUUUGAAUUUUUAUUUUAAAUCUCCUGCAAUCAUUGCCAUGCCAUAUGUGUCCACCUACUCUGCUCUGCAUCUAAUCUGACAUUAGGGGCAUGACUCAGAGAGUCCAUCCAAGACUAGCCCAACUCCUCUGGUUUUGCUAAAAUAAUAAGUAUUCAACUGUAUGACCGGCGGAAGGUAAUGACAGAUAGUUCAGCUCCUUGCCCUCAGAGUCCAGUCGUUUACCGGUCAACCGGCUUUUUAUAUCUCCACACACUUCUUUUUCCAGGUGUGAAAGGAUUCAUGGAAACAAAAGGACAUUGACCUUAUAUCCUGACAAAGAACUGAAAGCGUCAAAUACAGUAACCAGGAGCAGAAUCUCUUAAACGUGUACGGCGAUGCUCCUCCUCCCCGCAUUCUCCUACCAGCGCAACAUGCCAUCUCUGUGCUUUCAGUUUACACUGUCCAGGAGAACCACGACCUAGUCCGGCCUGUGUUCCUGAACCCGGAAUACCUGCAGAGGCUGCCAACAUUUUGGAAAGCCAAGUGCCUGAAGGAGGUCUCCUUUCUCCCUCUGGCCCUGUCCCCAUCUCCAUCCGAAGGCACCAUGUGAGCUGGUCCCUAUCCUGUCGUGAGAUGAGGACCUGGUUCUCUAUAGCCUAGGUCCUGACCUGGCCUCACCAGCACCUUUUGCUUCCUGAUGAAGUUAUGUCUGUGUCAGAGCCAUAUGUGUCUCUAUAUUUGGCCUGGUAUGUGUUCAUACAAUUCCAGUUGUUGGCAUGUACUCUGCAUUGCAAAGGUAAGCAUCUCAGAG
rnacentral:lncRNA from 1 species